AGACACUGAAAGGACACCUUGUACUUUCAACUGCCCGAAGGCACCUUCGUUAACAGUGAUUUAUGUCACUCCCUGUCAGAAAGCUUGAUGAUAUCCGAAAAUACAGUGCAAGCAAGCAGAAGUGAUUGAACAUGGAAUCUGCAACACUUUUCCGCGGCGAAUGUUGGCAGAGACUGAGACGUUCUUCUUACUUGUCCCAAACCCUGACAGUCUGGGUCCACUGAAGCCCUGUGUGACUGGGGGGCAGCUGUUUGCUAGGCCACACAGAAAGCAGCAGACAUUCUGCGGUCAGGGUCACAGGGGAGACUGCCGGACAGCACUGGGGACCAAACUGAGGACUCGCUGGCUGGGAUGCCACUUCAGUUACAUGUGUUCCUGGGUCAGUUAAAGAGAGGUUUCUUUAACCAAUCACAGUCUUUUUUGGAUGACAUCACCAAAUUGGUCCAUUUUUUUCAUUGUAUGAUGUCACCACAUUGGUCCAUUUUUUUCAUUGUAUGAUGUCACCACAUUGGUCCAUUUUUUCAUUGUAUGAUGUCAUCAGAUUUAUCAAUUUUUCCAUUGUAUGA